GCCUGGGUGGCUCAGUUGGUUAAGCAUCUGACUUCAGCUCAGGUCAUGAUCUCAGGGUCCUGGGACCAAGCCCCAGGUCAGGCC
rnacentral:tRNA from 1 species